GACGAACGCUGGCGGCGUGCUUAACACAUGCAAGUCGAACGGAAAGGCCCUGCUUUUGUGGGGUGCUCGGGUGGCGAACGGGUGAGUAACACGUGAGUAACCUGCCCUUGACUUUGGGAUAACUUCAGGAAACUGGGGCUACUACCGGAUAGGAGCUCCUGCUGCAUGGUGGGGGUUGGAAAGUUUCGGCGGUCGGGGAUGGACUCGCGGCUUAUCAGCUUGUUGGUGGGGUAGUGGCUUACCAAGGCUUUGACGGGUAGCCGGCCUGAGAGGGUGGCCGGCCACAUUGGGACUGAGAUACGGACCAGACUCCUACGUGAGGCAGCAGUGGGGAAUAUUGCACAAUGGGCGGAAGCCUAAUGCAGCAACGCCGCGUGCGGGAUGAAGGCCUUCGGGUUGUAAACCGCUUUCGCCUGUGACGAAGCGUGAGUGACGGUAAUGGCUAAAGAAGCACCGGCUAACUACGUG
rnacentral:rRNA from 1 species